AGAGUUUGAUCCUGGCUCAGGACGAACGCUGGCGGCGCGCCUAACACAUGCAAGUCGAACGAGAGAGAGGGAGCUUGCUUCCUUGAUCGAGUGGCGAACGGGUGAGUAACGCGUGAGGAACCUGCCUCAAAGAGGGGGACAACAGUUGGAAACGACUGCUAAUACCGCAUAAGCCCACGGCUCGGCAUCGAGCAGAGGGAAAAGGAGCAAUCCGCUUUGAGAUGGCCUCGCGUCCGAUUAGCUAGUUGGUGAGGUAAUGGCCCACCAAGGCGACGAUCGGUAGCCGGACUGAGAGGUUGAACGGCCACAUUGGGACUGAGACACGGCCCAGACUCCUACGGGAGGCAGCAGUGGGGAAUAUUGCACAAUGGGGGAAACCCUGAUGCAGCGACGCCGCGUGGAGGAAGAAGGUCUUCGGAUUGUAAACUCCUGUUGUUGAGGAAGAUAAUGACGGUACUCAACAAGGAAGUGACGGCUAACUACGUGCCAGCAGCCGCGGUAAAACGUAGGUCACAAGCGUUGUCCGGAAUUACUGGGUGUAAAGGGAGCGCAGGCGGGCGAUCAAGUUGGAAGUGAAAUCCAUGGGCUCAACCCAUGAACUGCUUUCAAAACUGAUUGUCUUGAGUAGUGCAGAGGUAGGCGGAAUUCCCGGUGUAGCGGUGGAAUGCGUAGAUAUCGGGAGGAACACCAGUGGCGAAGGCGGCCUACUGGGCACCAACUGACGCUGAGGCUCGAAAGUGUGGGUAGCAAACAGGAUUAGAUACCCUGGUAGUCCACACCGUAAACGAUGAUUACUAGGUGUUGGAGGAUUGACCCCUUCAGUGCCGCAGUUAACACAAUAAGUAAUCCACCUGGGGAGUACGACCGCAAGGUUGAAACUCAAAGGAAUUGACGGGGGCCCGCACAAGCAGUGGAGUAUGUGGUUUAAUUCGACGCAACGCGAAGAACCUUACCAAGUCUUGACAUCCUGCGGCGAUGCUAGAAAUAGUAUUUUCCUUCGGGACGCAGAGACAGGUGGUGCAUGGUUGUCGUCAGCUCGUGUCGUGAGAUGUUGGGUUAAGCCCCGCAACGAGCGCAGCCCCUAUCUUUAGUAGCCAGCGGUUUGGCCGGGCACUCUAGAGAGACUGCCAGGGAUAACCUGGAGGAAGGUGGGGAUGACGUCAAAUCAUCAUGCCCCUUAUGAGCAGGGCUACACACGUGCUACAAUGGCGUAAACAAAGGGAGGCAGAACCGCGAGGUCGAGCAAAUCCCAAAAAUAACGUCUCAGUUCGGAUUGUAGUCUGCGACUCGACUACAUGAAGCUGGAAUCGCUAGUAAUCGCGAAUCAGAAUGUCGCGGUGAAUACGUUCCCGGGUCUUGUACACACCGCCCGUCACACCAUGGGAGUCAGUAACGCCCGAAGUCAGUGACCCAACCGUAAGGAGGGAGCUGCCGAAGGUGGGACCGAUAACUGGGGUGAAGUCGUAACAAGGUA
rnacentral:rRNA from 1 species